GACGUAGGGCGCAAGCGUUGUCCGGAAUCAUUGGGCGUAAAGCGCGCGUAGGUGGCCAUUUAAGUCCGCUGUGAAAGUCAGAGGCUCAACCUUUGAAAGCCGGUGGAUACUGGAUGGCUAGAGUACGGAAGAGGCGAGUGGAAUUCCUGGUGUAGCGGUGGAAUGCGCAGAUAUCAGGAGGAACACCAAUAGCGAAGGCAGCUCGCUGGGACGUUACUGACACUAAGGCGCGAAAGCGUGGGGAGCGAACAGG
rnacentral:rRNA from 1 species